CUCUAUUACCUAAUCAGAUUACAAGGCACCAAGUAGCUCUAUUAAGCAGCAGAGGGCUUUUUUGUUUGAGAGGAUAUGAAACGCAGGAAAUCUAAGAGCUUGUAUAUUUACUCAGAAACUGGAGACAGUGAUGGUGCAUUCCAUCAGGCUGAUGAGGAUGAAGGUCAGGCUGCUCGUGCACUUCCUCAAGAGAUCUGCCUGGAUCUCUUCUUUCUCUUGGUGCAAGAGAAACAACGCCAGAAGUUAAUUGAGGUGCAUUAAGAAAAAUCCCUUCUGUUCAACAACGGCUUCUGUUUCCCCUCAGCACACUUGAGGCUGGUGCUUGAAACUGCCAGAUACUUAUACAGUCCACUCCUAUGCAUGCCUACUCUGAAAUCUAUUUUCAGGCAAGUAAGGUAUUAGAAUUGAAGCCGUGGUCAGUUCUCUUUUCCCACAGCAGGUGACACUACUGCAUAUCAAGAACUGCUUUAGCACUUAAAAAAACCACAACAGCCCAGCUUUUGGAAAUCCCCCCUCCCCCGGAUUUUCAUAGACUUCUAAGCUGCUCUGAGAGAUCUGAGAUGUGGGAAACAGGAUAGUUUCUUGCCCUGGUGUUCAUUUCAAUGCAAAUACCCUUGUUACCAAAGCAGAUGCAAAUUUGCCUGUGUGGAACCAUGAAGAUUUAACUGCAGUAUCCUUUUUGACCUUGGCAAGGAAAUGCAGCUGUGGUAAUUUGGUGACUGAUAAAUCCUUUAGUGCCCAUGCCUAUGACCUUUAGCAUAAGGCAGUCCUGGUUUAAAGUUAGCUCAUAGUGACACACAUAAGCUGGUUGCACAAAUACCAUAUGUAGAAAUAACUGAGGACCGGCUUUCCACUUACCAUUCCAGCUGCUGCUUUUUCCAACCCAGGAUUCCUCUUCUGUGAAGCUUGUGGCUCAACCGUGUGAUUCCCAUGCCCUACUGCAACUGACUGUAACCAAGCCUAAGUACAUGUAACUGAAACAAGAGGAUGUUUACAUUAUUUCCUUGUUUACCCCUGCUGUUGCUUCUCCUUUGGGCAAAAUUUAGAUUGUAAGCUCCUCAGGAGGACAACAAGUUGUCGUCUGUAAAGUACAUUCAUACUGAUGGCCCUCCAUAAAUAAUAAUAAUUAUUAUUAAAAUA